CGCACCCGCCUCCCCUCGCCUCUCCCUGAUUGGGCUGGGCCCGGGCACGUUCUCGCCCCCUGGCUGCCUGAGGCGCGCUGCGCGGGCGCCGCGGGCUCCGGCCCGGCCCGGCCAGACUCUCCCUCCUUCUCGCCCGCGCCGCCUGCCCCGGGCCGGGCCGGGCCGCGCGUGCGGCGGCGGCGGGGGGUCAGCGCGGCCUCCCCGCCGCGGCGGCCCCCGGGGCGGGAGCCGCGGCGCUGGGUGGUGGCGGUCGUUGCCCCGGGACCACUGCCGGGCAGCGCUCCGGGCCGCCGCGGGGAAGUCGGAGCAACUUCGGAGCGGGCAGCGAGCGAGCGGCGCGGCGGCUGCCGCCGAUGGCCGCGGGAGCGGGUUUCCUGCGUAGUGGUACGGCGCGCCUCGGGCACCCGCGGCCGGGAGCGCGUUUGCGGUUCACUGUUGGUUGGUGACAAAUAAUGCUCUCCAGGCCUCUGGUUUUCCCCACCUUCAUAACAAGAAUAAGACUUUCCCAACAGUGUGGGCACGGAUGGCCAACUUUAUGAUCAGCUGAAGUAUUCGAGUGCCUCAGAGAGAAAGCGGUGAUGUGUGCUGUAUAUCCAUUUUCAUGAUCUACUUGCUACUGCUAAUAUAGGAGUUGAAAAUUAUCACUGGAAGAUUAUUUCAGAACUCGAUCAACUAAAGGGUUAAGAUCUUCUCUUGACAUUUGAGAAGGUGGCCUGUUGCUUUUUCUUGGUGACUACUCAUAGGCUGUGAGAUGCAGAUCUUUCUUUUCUAGCAAGAGAAAGCCUGUCUUUUAUUUCCAUGGAGCUGAAUGAACAAAGACCUCUCCACUUCCUGUUGCCAUCAUUUCACCCAACAUUUGAGUCACCAGAUGGCUUCUCCCACAGAAGCACCACACCAUGUUACCAAAACUCAAAAGUAGAGUAUCAGAAGUGAGCAUUUGUUUCCCUGAAGAACUGUCUCCUGUGCCAGCUCUUCAUUCAGCUUUCUGCAUUCUGUUUUAAAAUGAGAAAUACUUUGUAAUCAAAUGUAUGGAGAAGCCGGUGUUCUUCACUGAUACUUCCUCCUUCAUUUUAGGAGGGAUAAAUUCUUUGCUGUGUCAUAUUAGAGCGCCUAUCAGAUAAAGUGUCUGCGUGCUUUGCUAUGCCAGGCUGUCCUGAUGUGUAUGAGAGGUUACAACAGGAAAACUGAAAUAUACUUUCCACUCUGAAAUGAGGAAGAAACCUACCAAACAAUUGGGGAAGCCCCAUAGCAGGUAUUUUCUAGUCCAGGACCCAGGCUUGACUCUGUAGAUAGAUGUCUUGAUGUCAACUCGCAUAAAGCAGCUAAUGCAAAGGAACAAAUGCAGAGUCACCUUGUCUAUAGUGUGUAAAUGCAUCAUCCCAAUCUGUGAUCAAAAUAUAUCUGUGCAUGUGUAAAUCCACAUAAGUGCUGGAUAUGAUGAGCUUUGACCAGAAGGAGAAAUUACUCUGCACAUUUCAUUUUUCACGAAGAAAAUGAAGCUUUAAAGACCUCUAGAGUUACAGGAUAAUGAUCGGGUUUAUGUUAAAUCAUUCCCUCUCCAUGGCUUCUUAAGAAUCCUAAACAGCAAAAGGAACAAAAACAUUCUGCCAUCAAAGAGAUGGGGCAGAACUCUUAUUUCUUAAAGGAAUUCUCUUCUAGUAUGAUGGAAGAGACCAGAGGUGUAAAACUCCAGUUUAUCCAUUCAGCUUCCUUGGCACAGUUUCAGCUUUUCAUACUGCUGAUGGAAUUGGCUUGGCUGAUGGAGAACCGAGAUGACCUACAUGUUUCCAUCAUACAGAUAGAAAUAGGCCUAAUAGAAUUAACUCUUAGCCACUUAAGAGUGAUGUGUUGAAGAGCAGAAAUACAUAGCAUGGGCUUUUUUUCUGUUUCCUCCUGAAUUUCGUUCCCAAACUAAGGAGCAAUCUGUUGUUUUUAUGUUUGCAUAGCGUUCUUUGUCUCCAUCAUUUGUGAUUAUUUGGGAUGUUUUCUGCCAUUCUGAGAUGCGAGCUUAUAAUGCUCACCUGCUCCCUGCUGUGGUAUUACAUAUGACAAGUAUGAUUUCUUGGCAAAAGAGCCAGAAGAGAAAUAGGAUAUGUAUUCUAUUCCACUUUGAUCUGGAGCUCUUCUUAGUGCACCUUAUUCCAAGCUUGUGAUUUAGAAAAUGUGACUUACUAGCUUAAAAUAAUAUUUUCAAAUUUGGAUCAAAUAAAGGUAUAUAGGUUCUGUUAAUAGGGUUUGGGGGGAUAGUAGCAGGGCUGGGGGACAUUUUGGGGAGGGGAGUUGUUUUAUUUUUCCUUUUAGAAAACUGCUGGAGAGAGCCAGACAGCCUGAAAAUGGCUGAAAAAAAGCAACAGCUGAAAUUCUUCAUAGAUCUUAAUGAUAGAUUGCAAGGGCAGCAUUCUGAUAUUUAAAAUGUAGUGAAAUUUAAUGGGGAACAAGUUCCAUAGUAGAGUGAGGACAAAUACUGAUUUUGAUUCUGGUCUUUUAUAAUAGAGUUCAGUUAGAUCCACAUUUAGACAUGCAUUGUAACAACAAGAUUUAAUAACAGCUUUACCCAUUUUUUGUUUCCAUGAAGAAAAGAGCAGGCUUAUAAGUUAAGGAGUGGUGGGCAAGACACUGCAUGUCAGAACAAAGCCAAUUGUAAUGAGCAGAGGUGCACUAACAUUGUGGGUAACACUCUGAUGAGCUGUGCAAGAGUCAUGUUAAUUGUGGCAAGGCAACCACAAACUUCGCCUGACUUCUUUUAAGAAUGUAGGAUUUUUUUGCUGAACACAGUCUGAAUUUUACUGUUUUAGAGGCAACUAGAAAUGCACUUCCUUGUAGGUCCUCCUUAUGUUGAAAUUAAUGGGAUUUAAUGUAGAUGUCUGUAGAAGCAGGAUCCAUCUCUAAGUGAUGGAAAAUAUUGUCAAUAUCAUAGGAUUAUAUGAGGUUGGAAGGUAUCUGGCAUAAGAAACAUCUGUUCCUAAAUCUGGGAAUUUCUUUUUCUUUCUUCUACCUGUACUCAUUAUCCUUUGGACAUUAGAGCUAGCAGCUGUUUCUAGCACAGCUUGGUGACAAAAUAUAUGGGGUACAGGAAUGUGUUUUUCUUUUCUGCGGGUAUGUACAGAACUCUGAUUAGAGAGUAAACACACCUUAAGCUCUUUAAUGCCAUGUCCAUAGGAGUAACUCAACAUUUUAUAACCCUGCAUUCUAACAAAGAAAUAGAGCUAUUGAUUUUUCCUGACUUCUCCUAUCCCUGAUGAUGUGAUAAUGUUAGUUUUUAAACUUAAUUUUAGAUCAUAACAUAUUUUAGCAGGGCUAAAGAUCUGUGGCUUUCACAGAAAUAGUACUCCAGUAGUGCAUGCCCUAGAGACCCCCACUGCCGUAUCUUUCCAGCCAGCUUCUAUAUAAAACUGCUGUUAGGAAAUGCUGCCUCAGCAUUCUUACUUUUUCUUGCUCCACUUUGUUUCUCUAUGUUGGCUGGAAAUCUUCCCAUGUGAAAGAUUACAAAAAUAAGGGGCAUGUGCAAUAGAUCAUAUAUAUAUACAUAUAUAUAUUUUAAUACUUGUGGACAAAAUGAUGUUACAAGUUGUUUGAAAACAACAAAAUCACCAAUGUCUUCCAUUUUGAGAUGUGUAUAGUUCCAUAAGCAUUAGUGCUUUGUAGCAAACUGUAGUGCCAUGUUAGGAUCAGUGCAUGAGCCUAGUAGUAUUUUUACAAUUUCAGAGUGACAAAUUUAUUAAUAAACAGUGAUAAUGUAAUUAACAAUAGAAAGGAUACAGUAAAAAUGUCACAAACAUGGUCUAAAUAUGCAGUAUCCUCCCUUUGGCAAUGGUCAUGCUAUCUUUAGAAAUGGAAUGUAUUCACUUAAUGGGCUUCAUAGAAUCAUAGUUGACUUUUUAGUAAAUCUGUCCAACUGCAAUAGUAAACUAUUGUAUGUAAGCAUCCAGAAUUCUCAUCUCUUUACCAGUGGUGUUUUUUUUCUUUAGUCUUUAGUGAAGGUGAUUUCUUCCACGAGCAGCAUUUUCAGUUUUAUUACUACCCAUCCUAUGAUAUACUCAGAAAAUAUGAAUAUGCUAAAGAGCUAGUGUGCAUUUUGUACACAUCUCUGCUACCUUAAGAUUAUCAUUUACAAACUCUGUUAAUUAAGUCAAAACAACUUUGCAGAUCUGACUAUAUAGUUAUAACAAGUUAAACAUGAGCCUCAUCAUCUUAUAAAUUAAUGGUUGCAAAAUGCUAUCUGCUAAUUUUACGUAGAAAACUUUUAUCCAUUAUUGCAGGAAUUGGAAACCUUUUUUGCUGAAGUCCUAUUGAAUCUCUUAACACCUUUGGUGGAUCCUGCAUUUACACACAUCUUAAUAAUAACAUGGGAGAAUAUAAUAAGGUCAAGGGCUGUUAAAAGUCAAUGUUGCGGACUGUAGCUGUUCAGUAGGCUGUAUUUAGCCUACGGAUCAUAGAUUCCCCACCCCUGUAUUAUUGAGAACUCAAUACCAUGUAUUUUGGAUAACCUCUAGUAUUGCUUUCCACCUCUAAUCUCAAAUUUAAUAGUUUUCAUCUCUCCCUCUGCUUUUUGAGAAGGAAAGUUUAGACCACGGGAAGUCCAAAUGAUUUAGUACUGAAUGGGCAGCUUGGACUGGUCAAAUAAGAGACUGUUAUGAUCCCUAAGAUUUGCAAUGCUCUGUAGAUGGCAUCCUCUUGAUUUCCUAGGAAAAAGUGUUUUAUUCAGUGGCAGUGUUUCUUUUCACCCAUUUCUCUCUUUUAUAAGAACAAAAUUCUCUGUCAGCUUAGAGAGGAUACUGCAUCUUUUUUUCCUGAGACCUGCCUGUAAAUGGCCAUUAGGGGGAGGGAGGGAAUGAGUAGCUUGGUUUUGUAAUUUUAACAUAAGUAUAAAGUAAUUAAGCAGUGUAUACUUGGGUGCAAAACCAGUAAUACUUGCAGAGUUAAUGUAUGUAACAAAAAAAAAUGCAUUUACUACAUCUCCAAGAAAAUUGGGCAGGUGGGCCAUUUACAGCAGAGGUCUGGGGGACCUGUCGUUGGAGUUAGGUUCAGUUCUGAACAAAAGAAGCUGUGUAGCUGUACCAUUGAAUAAAGUAGUUUAGUGCUUGGGAGAAUUAUUUGAAAAAUACCUCUGAAACUGGAAUGCAAAAUAGCACAGUAUGUAGGGGGAAGAAUCCCUGAUGCAAACAAAGCCAUAAGAUGAUUUAAUAAGAAAAAAUAGAACUUUAGUAGCAAUAACUGUUUUGCAUGUGAUAGUAAAUAAAGUAAAUAACUUGCAUUAGCAAGAUUGUACAGUAGAAUAAGUGGGUAAUAACCAAAUAAGUUUGUGGCGUUCUGUGCUGCAGGGAGUUGCACCAUAAGUCUCUUCCUAAGAAGAUGGGUAAAUUUCUCUUAAUGUUCCUCUCAUUGGAGGGAACUUCGCACUUGAAUGCUUUGUUAAUGAACCUGGUAUGAAAAACAUUGAUUAGUUUUGUCACAUGUCUGAAUCAAGGUGUGCUGAGGAAGAGCAGGCAGUUCUUUCUGAAAGUAUGGGUGAAGUUACCCUAUUUUGUUUUUCUUUUUUGUAGUCUAGUACUUGCUGUUUCUCUGAGGUAAAACUGAACCCUUCCAAGUACUGAACUGUGAAGAGAACCUGGUUCUGUUGUUAGAAGGCAUUUUAUUGCAUGAAGUGCUUUUUGUUUUCUUUGUUUAAAAAGACCAAUUUGAGAUGGUGACAGGUCUUUUAAAAAAAAAAAAAAAAGUUUAUUGGAGAACACUUGACACUUGAAACAUUUUUACUUCCCAAACAGAACUGUAGGAUUCUAAAAAUAUUACUUUACAGCAAAAGUAAUUUUGGACUUGCUAAACACCCUGUUUUAGACCAUGGUUGAUUUCUGUCUAAAGUUUUGGAGAGGCAAGUGCUGUGAAGCCUCUAAACAGAAGGGGGUAUUGAUCUACAGCUGUAGCCUCUGUUCGUGUUUUUUUUUGUUUGUUUGUUUUUUAAGUAGUCUGUUUGAUACUCCGUUUUCAGUGUAGAUAUGUAGUCUGUAGAGACAGUAGGGCCCAAUACAUAAUACUCUUGUGAACAGAACUAUUACAUCAGAGAUGUAGCUCUGUCUGGUUGGAUUUCUUCUAGAAAGGUGAAGUAAUUUGAACCAUAACUUAUAUCUGAAGGGAGGCUACUAUUCUAAAAUUACUUUAAGUGAAAUCCUUUGGCUCGUCAUAAGUUGAUAAUGAGACUGUGAGGGCUGUGAGCAUUUUUACAGUCUAAAGUAACCAAGAUAAACAUGAGGAUGACUACAUUAGGUGUUAGCUAAUAUGUAAUAUGCAUAUGAAAAGCUAAUUGAUCUGGAAGGUUGUAAUCAGCUUAAAUUCCAGCUACUGGAUUAUUGAUAAAACUGGAAGCUGGCCAUAGGAAACCUUAAUUUAAUUAUUAGAUAGUACUAGAUAAGUUAUAAAUUCAUUCUGGUCAGUGGUUAUCAAAUAUACUUGCAUAAUAAUGAAAACAUGGUCAUGUUCAUGCUUCAGAAGUAUAAAUUUUGUGACUGAAUAGAAUUCCUCAAGGCUUUAUUCAUUUAGAGAAGGGGAAAAUAAUAAGACUGCAGUAGCCAGGCAAGCUGUCCACAUAUGCAUCCCAGUUCAGAUUUUAUAAUGAUUUGUACUCUGUGGGCUACUAGACUAGAAAUUAUGUUUCACGGCAGCAACAGAAAUCCCAUUGCCUUACAGCUGCUGAACUAUUGUGUGACGUGGCCCCCAAGGCCUUGAUUUCACUGCUUCUAAAACUCAGCAGAAAUGUCAGAGGCUACUAUGUUUCACUGUGGGAUAUCAAAUAUGUAGUGUGCACUAAAGACAUGACUCCUUUAGCAGUACUAAGCUUAGGUGAUGCAUGUAUAUAGUUUCCUUACCCAGUGGUGCUGCUGCAGAAGGUCUAGUCAGUAAUUAUGUUGGGAAUUGCAACUUCUUCUGAAGGUAAUUGUUAAUUCAGGACUUGAAACAAAAAAAAGUCUUGCAAAGACUCCUAAAUAUUGAGAGAAAAAAUUGUAUCAAGCUCCAGGACACUAACACUUUACACAAGGAGUACAUUGACAAGAGCUGGCAGUGUAUUUCUGGGCAGAGAAGAAUAUGGAAGAGCAGAACAGUUUUUGAUGAACAACCAAUCUUUGAAAUAUCUGCUUCCCCACUUCUCUAAGAAACUGUCUGGUCUUCCUUCAAAACCUAAUAAUCCUGCUUGCUGUUCAGGUACAGAGCUGCAUAAUGGCAGUUCAAGUUAGAUACCUUUGGAUUUCUUCUAAUGAAUGAUCCAGCAUAUUGCCCCUACAGCACUUUGACUAGCACACAAAAGCCAGCAAUGGAACCAGGGCAUCUCAUUUAUUAGUGCAGAACACUAACUAUGGAUUUCUGAACUCUUUCAGUCUGCUCUGCACUUUCUACUGACCAAUAGUUUUAGGGAAGGAACGUGUUUCUGUCACUGAGCCUGUGUACCAGGUUAUCGUACGGAUUCCCUAAGACUUUACAACAUCUACUAUUAAAGAUAAAAGGUAACGUAACUUACUACCUAGUGUGUCCUGUGUUAAUCCUGAUUGCUUCUCUUCCAUUCCAAAUGAGCAUGUUUGCAAGUCCAAUAAAAGAAGGCUUCUUUGUGAUGCCUUAGAAGGAAGAACUGUAUGGAGAAACUGAAGGAAAGUAGCACAGGCCCACAAACCAAAUCUUAGAGUUAGUAUUCUAAUUAUGCAUGAUUCAAAAUGUCUAGUGUAAUGUAGUUAUUACCAGUAAAUUGAGAUAUGCAUUUAUACAUAAUGAAGCAAUAGGAAUUAAUAUACCAAUAGCUUGAACUUCCUGCUUUGAUUCUCAAAUUUUGUUUUUAGAGAAUGCACUGCUCCUGUAGAGAAAGGGGCAGAAUGUACAGAUAGGGACAGAAGCAUGGCACCAAAACAGCAAAUCAGGAACCAGGAUCAGCAGAACUCGCCUUUAUAACCUCUUGUCUGGUUCACAUUAGUGCCCUGGGCAUGUAAAAAGCAGGGCAUGAACUAAGCAUGUUUAGGGGCGAGAUGAGGUUUCUCACCUGCUGCAGCUGUAGCAAGGAAAAGGGUGCAGAGUUUCUCACAGGGUGCAGGGGGGAAGCAACUCAUGGAAAAAAACAAACAAAAAAACCACAGUAACAGAAACAACAGACUCAGAUUGAGUGGUUAUUUGCCAGACAGUAGGUAAAAGGCUUGGGUGUGGUGAGAGAAAUUAUUUGGAGAAGACUGAAAUCAAUAAGCACAGUACAUAUAUUUCAGGUGUUGAACAGCUUUUUAAUAGACAGUAUUUUCAGGUAACUCUAGCCACAUAGGCAGCUGUACUGAAGCAUACUGGUAUCAGCCAGCAAUAAUGGCAUCUGCAGGAAUGAACCUGAAAAUACUGGUUAUCUUGUAUAUUUUUUAAGUUCUUUGACAAAAGAGAUUUUUAAAAACAGAAAAUGAGAUUUGAUCACUGGAGGUCUUUAUCUUCUGCAACACAGGUUGCAAUAUAAUAUUUUUUCUUUAUUUCACUUAUUAAAUAAAAGGGAAAUUGGGUGCCAUCUUUCUGUAAACUUUUAGUGUGUUCUCUGUAUUAUUUCCCAAGUCUUUUAGUGGGUGAUGCAGUGAAUUUCUGCUGGCAGUAUGAAAAUAACAUAGAAUCUGUGGCAUAGCCUAUAUCACUAAUGCUUUUCCUAGUCUGAAGUAUUCAAACAAGUAGAAUACUAGUUUGUUUACUGCAGGAUUCCAUAAUUCUAGCUUAGCUUAAUUUUAUAGGUGGGCUUAACUUGUGCAAACAUUCCUCCAUGUACUUGAGGCUCAGCCUUCUUAAAUAGAAAGAGUAAGGGUCUUAGAGGAAGAAAUUAUGUGUCAAGUUAAUUCCCAUUCACACUUCUUAGCCAACCAUCCACAAAGCACCAUUGGGUUUAGAACAGGGACCAUGUUUUCCUCAUGAAUGCCCUUUCUAUCAAUACACAAAAAUUGCCAAAUGAAGAUUGGAAUAUGAAAAGAAGAUAACUAUUUUGUAGUAUCAGAAACUAGAUUAAAUGAAAUCCUUUGAGCCAACUUCAAGCAAAAAGGGAAUUUGUAAAACCAUUUUAGCCCGGUGGUUAACAAUGGCCAUCUAAAACCUGGUUGAUAUUCUACAGAAUGCUUUGCAUGGUCUUAAACCCUGUUAAAUGUAUUUUCUUUCAUGUGAAGAGUAAGUAGUUGUAUCCAUUCUUAAUGCUUAUCCUCUUCAAUACAAAACCAGGGGAAGUAAGGUACUUUAGGACUUCAGUGAAGCUAUCCUCCUUUUGAAAAGUAUGAUGUAGCAGCAGAAGAGAAGUAUUAGACAGUUGUAGCAGAUUCUUAAGAGUUAUGUUAAUACCUAAAAACCAGGUUAGAGAACACUUCUUAUAUGGGGCUUCUGAUGGCAUGCUUACAUGGGUUAGUGGAGGAAAUUACUGGUAUCACUAUGAACUAUGUACUCCCAUUGCACACGUUUUACAUGAUAACAGUACAAGAAUGUCUCCCUGUGAAUUCUAAAGUUUUUCCAAAAGGCAGCUUGCUUUUAUAUCUAUGCAUAUUCGGGGAUUUCGAGAUAAGAUUUUAUUCUUUUGACACCGUAAAGAGGAACUGUUUAAAAAUGAACUUGGAAACUCUGCA